rfam:Euryarchaeota archaeon TMED103 12270, whole genome shotgun sequence.
UGUAUGGGAUAGGUGGGGAGCUAGGCGUACCCUGUACCACAAAUCGUCUUUACGGUGGACUGAAUGCCUUGGGGCGGCGAAAGCGGCUUACGGGUUCCUGCAUGCGGACGUAGAUGUCUCGCCCCCACAUGAUCCGGGUGUUGCGAACCGUUUCCGGAGGGAAACGGGAACCAAAUAACCGGGGGAACAGGUCAGGCCGGGAACGGAGCAUCCCUACCUGGGGCCAUGGGUGCUGUGGGGAUACGGGACGGAGGAAGUGUGUAGACACGGCCUGUGGGUACGAGCGUCCACCCAAGGAUUCCCACCUA